GCAGGCCUAAUACAUGCAAGUCGGACGGGAUUGGAGAGCUUGCUUUCCAUGAGAGUGGCGCACGGGUGCGUAACACGUAUGUAACCUACCUUCACCAGGGGGAUAGCCUCUCGAANGAGAGAUUAAGACCGCAUAACAUUAUUGAAUAGCAUUAUUUAAUAAUCAAAUAUUUAUAGGGCGAAGAUGGGCAUGCGGAACAUUAGCUAGUUGGUAAGGUAACGGCUUACCAAGGCUACGAUGUUUAGGGGAUCUGAGAGGAUGACCCCCCACACUGGUACUGAGACACGGACCAGACUCCUACGGGAGGCAGCAGUAAGGAAUAUUGGUCAAUGGGCGGAAGCCUGAACCAGCCAUGCCGCGUGCAGGAAGACGGCCCUACGGGUUGUAAACUGCUUUUAUACGGGAAUAAACCUUGAUACGUGUAUCAAGCUGAAUGUACUGUAAGAAUAAGGAUCGGCUAACUCCGUGCCAGCAGCCGCGGUAAUACGGAGGAUCCAAGCGUUAUCCGGAUUUAUUGGGUUUAAAGGGUGCGUAGGUGGCCUGUUAAGUCAGGGGUGAAAGACGGUAGCUUAACUAUCGCAGUGCCCUUGAUACUGAUGGGCUUGAAUGAACUAGAGGUAGGCGGAAUGUGACAAGUAGCGGUGAAAUGCAUAGAUAUGUCACAGAACACCAAUUGCGGAGGCAGCUUACUAUGGUUUUAUUGACACUGAGGCACGAAAAGCGUGGGGAUCAAAACAGGAUUAGAUACCCCUGGUAGUCCACGCCCCUAAACGAUGAAUACUCCGAUGUUGGGCGAUAUACGGGUCAGCGUCUAAGCCGAAAGCGUUAAAGUAUUCCAACCUGGGGAAGUAACGCCCGCAARGGGUG
rnacentral:rRNA from 1 species